GGAGGCCGCGGGGCGGUGACCGAGUUCCUGAACUUCCUGGCAGGGAAGGGAGCGCGACCACACGCCACAGCAGGCCCGAGGAACGUGGAGGUGUUCUGGGCGUGGCCCUCACCGAUAAAGGAUGUUUCUAUUCUACCCUGAAUGUCCUUCGAGUUCCACCUGCCAGAUCCGGUGAUAAAGCCUGUCGUCUUUGCAGAACAUCUUGUUGGCUUCAGAACAAAGAUCAAUUCAGUGGAGAUAGACGUGAGCCUCUAUGACCCUGCAAGGACUACUGCAGGGGUGUGCAACCUGCGGCUCCAGAGCUGCAUGUGGCUGUGUGGACCGUCUUCAAUGACACAGCCCAGAAGAAAAUGUAUUCAAAUGAUUUUUAAACAUUUUUUUAUGAAUGACCAACUUCCUAGAAGAAAUGUAUCAAGACAACGUAACAUUUGUGGCUCUAAAUGAGUUUAUUAUCCAGACUGAGGUCAAGAAUAGCUCUCUGUGUUGUAGAUGUUUCCAGACCUCUGGACUAGUGGGUUUAGACAAUGGAGAGAUGUUUGGCCACAAGGACCUGCAGAAGACCCAGCUAGGCAGAAAGAUGUGGAUCAUGUUUAGUGUGAUCUUUUUUCUUUUCUGAACAUGGGUCAUUACACAAAACAGUAACAUGAGAACAAAUAAAUAGUCCGAUUGGUCUGCAUAACCAGUAUCAUAUCAUGUUUUUGUACACUUUCUCAAAGCAAAUGCUACAAAUGUUUUAAGAUAAGCACAUGACAAUCCUUUGCUGUUUGCUACAUUAUUAAAUGUUAUUGCACGUUAUGUUAGAUUAAGUAACAUUAAAUCACUUAAUGUUUCACAACAUUUAAUUAAGCAAUGUUGUGUUUUGGUAAUCUGUGGUAUG